UUUUUCUUUCCAUCCUGUCCCUCCCUCCCUCAACUGAUGCCUAAUCUCACUUCCUAUUAAGAAAUCUUCAGCCAGGAACCGUUUCCAAAUAUGCCCCCAUUCAAUUUAGGUUUUAAUGAUUUCUUCAUCAUGAAAUCAAAGGUUUAUCGGUUAUGGCAAUGAAAUCGUCGCUGGUUAAUGAUCAAUUGAAACCUAUAACAAUUAAUGGAAACCACUGAUUGAAUGCUUGCAGCAAAUUGAAUAGGGAAAUUGAUUCCAGGCCUCCACUUCAUUAAUAGGGAACGACCUUUCUUUCUCUCAGUUGUAUAAUUGAAAGUUAAAAUUGUGAAUAUAAAGAUGGUUGUUACGGAAGGUGGUGAAGAAGGUGGAAGGAUUGCAGAUUUGGUGUCUUUCAAUCUGUUGCUGAGAUACCCUAAUUUUGCUACGGACGGCAGUUGGUUGUGGUGGUAUUAGGUGGUUUUUGUGAAAGGGACGAACUUGGUUGUGGUGGUGAAUGGAAACAGCGGUGUGGAUUGAACACCGACGGUGACGGAGAAAUAGGAUUCCCACGAGUAUUUUGGUGAUCGGAUUGUUGAAGGAUUAUGUUUCGGUCGAGAGCGUAGGUUGAGGCGAUUCCAUUGGUGAUCAACAACGGCGGCGGUUAGUAUUCCGGCAUUAGGGCGGUUAUUUAUGUUUUGUAAUAAAGAUAUCUUGAAUUAUGAUAGAUUAUAUACAUUUACAAGCAAGAUCACAUUGAAUAUAUUAAGCUUUGUAUUUAUUUGACAAGAGAGAUUGAGCGUUUCUAAUGAUAAAUUCAACCUAAUUAGCGUCUGAGUUGGGGGAUUGAUUGGAGGACUCAAGUUUAUUAGUCCCUAUCACAAUGCAAACCAGCCUACCACCUGUUUGAUGAAUUGCCACAAUGAGAUCUAAUGUGAUUGAACCUGCUGUGCUAAAUUGCGAGAAAACAAUCCUGGGAAUGCUCUUUUAG
rnacentral:lncRNA from 1 species